ACGUAUCCAGAUAGGUCGUCGGUGACGCAUGAAUAAGUUGGCAGUGUCUGCUCUGUGACAGGCAACGCUUGAGGUCUGUGGACCAAUAUAGCAGUAUCAAAUUGGGUUUGAUUUUGGACUAUUUACCCUUGAGGCAUCCGUUCAGUUGAGUUUUUAUUACAAUAGUAGUUUCAUUCUUGCUCAGUUAUUAUCCUGUUUCUAUUACUACUGUAGUUGCUCUUAUAUCAUAUCAUGUUCAUAUCUGUUGUUCUAUCUCCUUUGGUUUCCGGUGAUUACAGCUUGCCUUCGUGGCUCUGUCGUACCCACUAGAAAACCAUGGUUGCGGUUUCUCACUCCCCAUUUCCCCCAGGUGACAUGGAUGAGGAGUUGGUAUUUGGGCUCGAUGGGAGGACAAUCUAGCUAGUC
rnacentral:lncRNA from 1 species